AUUGCUGCACUUCUGAAAGAGAUCUUGGGGUACUAGUCGACUGCAGGCUAAACAUGAGUCAGCAGUGUGAUGCAGUCAGUGGUCAAGAGGGCAAACGCCACCCUUGGAUGCAUAGCCAGAAGUGUGGCUUCUAGACCGAGAGAAGUAUUACU